CACACCGAGACGUUCGAGAUCGUCGCCGUUAAGAUUGAGAACAGUAAAACAAAGCAUCCCCAACUGCUUUACGAAGCCAAGUUAUACAAUAUCCUUCAAGGAGGAAGUGGAAUUCCGAACAUAAAAUGGUCCGGCAUAGACGGCGAGGACAAUGUGCUAGUUCUCGAUUUGCUGGGACCAAGUCUUGAGGAUUUGUUUGUGUAUUGUGGGAGAAAGUUUUCACUCAAGACUGUCUUAAUGUUGGCCGAUCAAAUGAUUACGAGGAUAGAGUUUGUGCACUCGAAAGGUUUUCUGCAUAGAGACAUAAAACCUGAUAACUUCCUCAUGGGUCUUAGUCGAAAAGCAAAUCAGGUUUACAUAAUUGAUUUUGGUCUUGCAAAAAGAUAUCGAGACUCCACAACCAAUCGUCACAUCCCUUACAGGGAGAAUAAAAACUUAACAGGAACUGCACGUUAUGCAAGCUGCAAUACUCAUCUUGGAAUUGAGCAAAGCCGACGUGAUGAUUUGGAGUCUCUUGGAUAUGUUCUUCUGUAUUUUCUCAGAGGAAGCCUUCCGUGGCAGGGUUUAAAAGCUGCCACAAAAAAGCAAAAGUAUGACAAAAUUUGCGAGAAGAAGUUAUCAACCCCUAUUGAGGUUCUAUGCAAAUCUCACCCGGUGGAGUUUGCGUCAUAUUUCCAUUACUGCCACUCACAGACAUUUGAUCAGCGGCCUGAUUAUGGAUUCUUAAAGCGCCUAUUCCGUGAUUUGUUUACUCGUGAAGGAUAUGAAUUUGAUUACAUAUUUGAUUGGACCAUCAUAAAGUACCAGCAGUCACAAAACAAUAGAACUCAGUCUCAGUUAUCCCCAGUUCCUGGACGAAGCAACAGUCAUGCAAUGCCAGUGCGUGUAGAUAAUCAUCAAGUGGCAGGAGGUGCUAGUGCUUCUUAUCCAGCUGAGGUCACAGAUCGAAUUAGAUCAAACAAUGCCACUGGUCCUGGUGUUCGGAUGCAAUUUAAACCAUCAACAGGCAGGAAUUUGAAUUAUGAUAAUCCUCUUGAAAAGAAUAUUUCAAAUGAAGCAUACCUGCCGUCUACUUCAUUUUCCGGCACCUCAAGAAGGAAUUCCACAAAACCUAUUUUGCCCACUGAAGCUGCAAACAGUGGUCAUGGGCAUGGCAGUAAAGUAGGUCCUUCGAGUAGUUGGAUUCAGUCACUGCAACGCAUGUCUUCAGCCAAGUGACCAAUAUGAUUUGCUCCAGAAGAUUCUAGCACAUCUUUGAAGCUCUGCAGAUGUAUGGUGAUUUAAUGGUCAAAUUUGCAAUCUAUUCAUGAAGAUCUUGGUGACGCGUCUUUGGAGACAUUGACUGCCUUUUAAAAACUUAUCUGAGAAGUUGAAAAACACAGAAAACAGUUGAGAGGCACUUAUGAUAUACUAAGGUGCUAUUGGCAGUUAUGAAGGCUACUUUACCAAAUUACUCCAAUACCUAUUCCACUCUCAUCUAUAAUCAGGAGUGGCUCUGCUAGCUUACUGUUACUACAUUCCAAGUAGUAUGCGCUCAAGGGGAUCAAGGCCAGUGUUCUCACCCCUGAACUUUGAGGUACGGUCGCCAUCCAGGAGCCGAAGCCCUGGGGACAUUACUAACUUAUAGAUGUUCUUUGACUGUCCAGGAUUACCCAAGAUUUUGUUUUUAGUAAAGAUCUUUGAUCUAUGCCAUCUAUACCAAUGCUGUGUUAUUGUUACUUUUUAUCUGCCAGAGGAAUCCAUUGAUCAAGGGGAUUACAUAUAUGCCGAUGGUGGUGCCAUGCCCGUGCAGUUGCUCAAGUAUCUCAUGAUAUAUAUAUAUAUAUAUAUAUAUAUAUAUAUAGAUAUCUCCUACAGCUUUUAAAUUGAGGAACAUUCAACAUAUGCAAUGCAAUGUAGUACUGUCGUUUGUGAUGGGUCUUCUGGUAAAUGUAUUAGUGUUGUCCCAGUUUGUUUUGUUUCGCCUCGCUUGAACGCAACUGUGAGGUUGUCAAUAGAAUAGAAUGGGUCUGUAGGAUGAUUUCGGGUCGGGUGUGGAUGCUCCAGCUCUUUGCUGGUGGAGAAGCUGUUUCAGUAUCACGGGGGGUGAAAACGACAUUGUCUAUUUAGCCGUAAAAACCUUCAAUAUUAAGCAGUAGAAACCUUGUUUUCCUUAA